rnacentral:rRNA from 1 species
UACAGAGGUCCCAAGCGUUGUUCGGAUUCAUUGGGCGUAAAGGGUGCGUAGGCGGCGCGGUAAGUCGGGUGUGAAAUCUCGGGGCUUAACUCCGAAACUGCAUUCGAUACUGCCGUGCUUGAGGACUGGAGAGGAGACUGGAAUUUACGGUGUAGCAGUGAAAUGCGUAGAUAUCGUAAGGAAGACCAGUGGCGAAGGCGGGUCUCUGGACAGUUCCUGACACUGAGACACGAAGGCCAGGGGAGCAAACGGG